UGAUUUUGGUGACAACAAUCUUGUCGGAUGGGUAAAGCUGCACGCUAAGGGAAAAAUAACAGAUGUCUUUGACCGGGAGCUAUUGAAAGAGGAUGCAAGCAUUGAGAUUGAACUUCUACAACACUUAAAGGUAGCUUGUGCUUGCUUAGAUGAUCGACAUUGGAAACGUCCCACAAUGAUACAAGUUAUGGCUAUGUUUAAGGAGAUUCAAGCAGGGUCAGGCAUGGAUUCGACAUCGACAAUCGGAGCUGAUGAUGUUAAUUUUAGUGGAGUUGAAGGAGGGAUAGAAAUGGGGAUAAAUGGAAGUAUAAAAGAAGGCAAUGAGCUGAGCAAACACCUUUGAAUGCACUAAAUGAAGAGUUUAUUGAAAGCUCACAAAUUUUCCAAAAUCAUCAUAUGCAAAGUGUAAUUUUUAGCCCCCAAUUAUUGUAUGUACCACUAGUUCCCAUCCAUAAAAUCUUGUGUUAUUAUACAUAAAAGGAAGGUUGUUUUUCUUUUUUAAAACAUGUAACAGUGUUG
rnacentral:misc_RNA from 1 species